rnacentral:rRNA from 1 species
GAUCCUGGCUCAGAACGAACGCUGGCGGCAGGCCUAACACAUGCAAGUCGAACGCGUCCUUCGGGACGAGUGGCAGACGGGUGAGUAACGCGUGGGAACGUACCCUUUGGUUCGGAACAACUCCGGGAAACUGGAGCUAAUACCGGAUAAGCCCUUCGGGGGAAAGAUUUAUCGCCAGAGGAUCGGCCCGCGUUAGAUUAGCUUGUUGGUGAGGUAAUGGCUCACCAAGGCUACGAUCUAUAGCUGGUCUGAGAGGAUGAUCAGCCACACUGGGACUGAGACACGGCCCAGACUCUUACGGGAGGCAGCAGUGGGGAAUCUUGGACAAUGGGCGAAAGCCUGAUCCAGCCAUGCCGCGUGAAUGAUGAAGGCCCUAGGGUUGUAAAAUUCUUUCGACGGGGAAGAUAAUGACGGUACCCGUAGAAGAAGCUCCGGCUAACUUCGUG